UUUAAUAAAGAUUAAGUACUAAAUAGANNNCCCAACANUAGUUGAUUACANUGAACAAGUUACUGUAGGGAUAACAGCGUAAUAUAUAUCUAAAGUUCUUAUUUUGAUAUAAGUUUGCGACCUCGAUGUUGAAUUNAUAUUACUUUCAAGCGCAAGAGCCUGAAAAGUGGGUCUGUUCGACCCCUAAAUAUAUACAUGAUUUGAGUUCAAAUCGGUGUAAACCAGAUUGGUUUCUAUCUAUUNUUAUUUGUGUCUUAGUACGAAAGGACCUGAAACAAUAUUAUAUAAUNAUUUAUAUGGCAGAAAAAUGCUUUAGAUUUAGGAUCUAAUUAUAAUAGAUUAUUAUACUCUAUUUAACUUGCCUAAUCUCUGUUAUUAGAAUCCUUAUCGCAGUAGCUUUUUAUACCCUCCUAGAGCGAAAAAUUCUAAGCUACAUCCAA
rnacentral:rRNA from 1 species